rnacentral:tRNA from 1 species
GCCGUUGUAGCUCAGCUGGUAGAGCACGUCAUUCGUAAUGAUGGGGUCGGGGGUUCGAAUCCUCUCAACGGCA